AAUCCUUUUGAGAGAGGAGGGGCGGAUGUAGCCAAGUGGAUCAAGGCAGU
rnacentral:tRNA from 1 species